GGCAUGGAGGAGUGCUGGCGUGUCCACGCUGCAAACAAGAGCGUGAGCUCCAGUAGCCAAGUGUAGCUGGGCUCACCGCCGCAUUGCCUGCAGAGGGAUUUGAGGUUCGGAUGCUGGCGGAGAACAAGUUCAGCAACUCGCAGAUAAGGAGCCAGCUGAGGCGACUUCGGAGGGAGUCCCGAAUCCACGACUACGGCAUCCUGGACAUUUAGGGUGGAAGAGACGAGGUCGAAAAUGUGUCCACGACAAUAUCGCCAGGACUACUCAGCUCUGCGACACGUCAUGGCGGAACCAACUCGGCUGCACCAACUCGGCACCGGAGACAUGGGCGGCUGAAAAAUCAUGGUGGCGAUACCUUGUUACGUUUUGCCCAAGAACAACAUGUUAAGCCAGUUUUCCUGUACCUGGGUGUUCUUGUCAAAGAAAAAUA